rnacentral:rRNA from 1 species
UUGAUCCUGGCUCAGAUUGAACGCUGGCGGCAGGCUUAACACAUGCAAGUCGAACGGUAGCAGGAGGAAGCUUGCUUUCUUGCUGACGAGUGGCGGACGGGUGAGUAAUGCUUGGGAAUCUGGCUUAUGGAGGGGGAUAACUACGGGAAACUGUAGCUAAUACCGCGUAGUGUCGAGAGACGAAAGUGCGGGACCGCAAGGCCGCAUGCCAUGAGAUGAGCCCAAGUGGGAUUAGGUAGUUGGUGGGGUAAAGGCCUACCAAGCCUGCGAUCUCUAGCUGGUCUGAGAGGAUGGCCAGCCACACUGGAACUGAGACACGGUCCAGACUCCUACGGGAGGCAGCAGUGGGGAAUAUUGCGCAAUGGGGGGAACCCUGACGCAGCCAUGCCGCGUGAAUGAAGAAGGCCUUCGGGUUGUAAAGUUCUUUCGGUAUUGAGGAAGGAGUGUAUGUUAAUAGCAUACAUUAUUGACGUUAAAUACAGAAGAAGCACCGGCUAACUCCGUGCCAGCAGCCGCGGUAAUACGGAGGGUGCGAGCGUUAAUCGGAAUAACUGGGCGUAAAGGGCACGCAGGCGGUUAUUUAAGUGAGGUGUGAAAGCCCCGGGCUUAACCUGGGAAUUGCAUUUCAGACUGGGUAACUAGAGUACUUUAGGGAGGGGUAGAAUUCCACGUGUAGCGGUGAAAUGCGUAGAGAUGUGGAGGAAUACCGAAGGCGAAGGCAGCCCCUUGGGAAUGUACUGACGCUCAUGUGCGAAAGCGUGGGGAGCAAACAGGAUUAGA